GAAGUGACCACCAUAUCAGUAUUGUGCAGGUUCAUUUUCACGAUGUAUUGAAUUAUUGAAUAUAGGCAUAUGUCUAUUCCACCUCAAACAUUACACACGUGUCUGUCAGUGCUUGACAUUUCACAUCAGCUGCACUUAUUCAUCUUUUAACAGGUGACAUUCUGGACCAGUAUGAGCUCGGCAAGGAGAUUGGAGAGGGAGGAUUUGGCAGCGUCUAUGAAGGCAAGCGCUUGGAGGAUGGCCUUGAGGUGGCAGUAAAAAUUGCCAGAAAGCCAUCGAACAUGAAAUACAUCAACAUCGCUGGUCAUCCUGAGCCCCUUCCUUUAGAGAUCGGCCUGUUGAUACUGGCUCAUAGAGGCGGCAAGGUUCCAGAGAUCAUUGAGCUGCUGGACUGGCAGGACCAGCAGGAUUGUUACAUCAUGAUCCUGGAACGACCUUCACCCUGUGUAGAUCUGUUGGACUUCAUAAUGUCUCUCGGCUCCAUCACUGAACGCCAGGCUCAAAAGAUCAUGGAGCAGGCAACAACGGCCGGUCUCAUGUGCUGCAGACGUGGGGUAUUUCACCGGGACAUAAAGCUGGAGAACCUGCUGGUCAACACGGACACGCUGGAGGUCAAGCUAAUUGACUUUGGCUGUGGAGCUCUUCUCCAGGAAUCUGGCUAUGACAGUUUCUGUGGCACAAAGGAGUACUUCCCACCGGAGUACUACCUAGACGACGAAUACCAUGCAGAACCAUCCACUGUAUGGUCUUUAGGAGUUCUGUUAUUCCUGCUGCUGUGUCAACGAUUUCCUGAAGUCACGGACACGCAGAGGAUCGAUGAUGGAAACUGGACUGAGCCUGGAUUGUCAGAAGAAUGCUGUGAUUUGAUUCAAGCUCUCCUGCAGGAAAACCCAAGCCAGCGGAUUCCUCUGGAAGAAAUCAUUUUCCAUCAAUGGUUUAAGUUUCUGGUGGAUGUUAUGGGCGAACAAAUCCUAUCAUCCCCACCGGAGAUCGACAGGGCGCAUCGCGCUCUUGUGGCCAAACCGAAGCAAGGAGGAAAACCAAGGGCUGUGAUAGUUCGGCUUCACCGCUAUCAGAUUAAAGAGGCUGUGAUGCGAGAGGCUCGGAAACGAAGGGGCUCUCUACAAUAUCAUGACAAACCGAUCGCUAUCUACGAUGACUACAGCCCUGAGGUUGUGGAGCAACGCGCACAAUAUCGCGGAGUUAUGACAGAACUUUACAAUCUGGGUUUCAAACCAUCCCUCCUCUUCCCGGCGAGACUGAGAAUUACGACAAAAGCCGAUGAACAAAAGUGGCUCCCCUCGGUUGAAGAGGCCAAGAACUUUCUAGGAUCUCACCGUAAUGCUUCAUAG